GUGGUAGACCUUUACUGCCAGGUGGUACACCCUCACUAACAGGUGUGGGUGCCCAGGACCCUUGGACCCCAUGGUACCCUCUCACUAGCAGGUGUGGGUGCAUGUGCAGGGUGCCGUGCCCUGGUGCUGGCACCCUGCCUGCAGCUGCUGCUUCUGUAACCGAAUAAACUGGCCUUAUUUAA